UUCGCCAGGGAACAACGAGCCCCAGCUUAAAACCCAAAGGACUUGGCGGUGCUUUAGACCCCCCUAGAGGAGCCUGUUCUAGAACCGAUACUCCCCGUUAAACCUCACCCUUUCUUGUUUAUCCCGCCUAUAUACCGCCGUCGUCAGCUUACCCUGUGAAGGUUUAAUAGUAAGCAAAAUUGGCAAAGCCUAAAACGUCAGGUCGAGGUGUAGCGAACGAAAGGGGAAGAAAUGGGCUACAUUUACUGUUUCAGUAAAUACGGAUUAUGCACUGAAAAAACAUUUAAAGGAGGAUUUAGCAGUAAGCGGGGAUUAGAGAGCCCCCCUGAAAAUGGCCCUGAAGCGCGCACACACCGCCCGUCACUCUCCCCAACAGAAAAUAUUUAUUAAAUAAAACAAUGCAAGUAACAAGGGGAGGCAAGUCGUAACAUGGUAAGUGUACCGGAAGGUGCACUUGGAAAAACA
rnacentral:rRNA from 1 species